UCACACCCAGAGUGACAACAUGUCACACAUAUCCGUCGUAGUGGCCCACAGGCCAGGUAGACGUUUCAAGCAAUCACAUUUGCACCUCGUAAAGCUACACCUGGGGAGGUUUGAGAAACGGU
rnacentral:sRNA from 12 species